UCGAGGAAAAAGAAGAAGAAGAUUUUGGAGAAGAUUCUGCAGAAGAAGAUGAAGAUACUUUUCUGGAAGAAACAUUUCUUGACGACGAAUACUGCAUUAGAGAAGAAGUACAUGAAAAAUUUAAAAGGUGCAUGCAUGCAUAUACUACAAAUAGUAUUGAUUGUAGGAAAUUUGUGUCAAACAUAACUUUUGAAAAAUCUUUCGUCGGAAGGUCGAAAUGAAAUUAAAAUGGAUGGAAAUACAAUAAAAUUGCAUUCACAAAACGUGAAGAAAUAAACUUUAAUUUACAAACAUUGAAGAACAGCAAGUUAUAACUAUACGUUACGUGCGGGAAUAUCCCCACACUAAGUUAAGGUUGGGGAUAGGAUAUUUGAGCAGAUCACAUAUGGAUAUAACAGAACAAUUUGUUCCAAUCUCCAAUAAAUUGUAGACGUUAACAUGUCAUUUUUUCAAUAGGUUUCCAUGGUUGCACGGUGCAUAUGGGAUUACUGGCCCGAACAAAAAAAUUGCACGUUCUCAUUUUUAUGUAACUGUUGAAAAAGGGAAGAAGGAAUCUGAGAUAUUGGAUGACAUUAAAGCUGCAUUUGAUUGUGAACCAAGUGACUACUUUGAACUUCUUCCGGAACCCAAGAAACCUGUGAAGUUUAAGUUCCUAUUGAAACCAGCACCUGGGGGAGGUAUCGCAGUUAAAGAAAAUGUACCAAAUCCUUUACAGGCAUCAAAUGAUACUGAGGAAGAAGAAUCAAGCACUUGUCGGGCAUCAGGAACAUUAACCAUGUUCUGCUGUAAGGAUGAUAAACACUACGCACUUACCUGUUUUCAUGUGGGUGUUAUCACUGAUAAACAACGGUUUGACCGAGCAUUCAAUCAGCAAGAUGUUUUGGACAUUCGCAAAUCGCGAUCAAUUGCAUGGCAUAAAGAAUAUGCCAAGAAAACACUAACAUAUGGCUAUCGCAAGAACGAAAUUGACAAUACUGAUGAAAAUGAAAACACUGGCAACUCUGCCAAACGUAGUGAUCUUGGUACGUUUUCCAAGGGUUCCUUUGACGAAGUUUCUGACAUUAUGUCUAUAGAAGUUGCUCAAAAUAUUAAAGUUGAUUGCACAGUGGCGGAGAUAGAUUCUCCCGUCUGGGCGAGAAUAUGGCAGGAACUAAAAAAAAGAGUUAUUCGCAAACGAGGAAUAGUUCCUGUGAGAGUGCAGAAACUCGGUUAUUCGUCAAACCUAACGGAUGGAUAUAUCGAUAAUAUUAAUUUUUCUUACAAUCAUGAAGGUGAACUUUUGUUCAGAGAUGCAAUCGCUGUGAAAAGUGAUUCAGGAAAAUUUUUGCAUGCUGGUGACUCUGGAGCUUUAAUAUGUUAUCUAGAUUCCGAAAACAAAAAACAGGCGUUCGCUUAUGGCGUCUGCGAAAUAGACAAAAAUGAUUCGGAUGAAGAAGAUGUAGUAUUUCGUGAACCACUAUCAAGUGAAACAGAAAAUGAACCACUAUCAAAUGAAACCGACAAAUCAUUGUUCAUUUGUUUGAGAUUAAAUACAGCUAUGAGAAAUUUGGAACUUUCACGUGAGACGGGGUGUUUCAAAGAAUGUGGCAGCAAUCAAGAAG
rnacentral:lncRNA from 1 species